CUCUGGAGUAAUCAGCGCUGUGAUCGGAGGCGCAGAGAGGCUGAUGGCACUACCAUUCCUGAAGCAGACAGAUACGACUCACUUGCCCCCAACUUCCCCAGAAAAUGGAGAUGAGCUUUGCCAACUCUGAGAAUUAGUUUCAUCUGCAACCAGCAGGGCUGAAACAGAAUAUAGGCAUCCUCCUGCCCUGCCUUUCCAUCACAUAGGAAGGGGACUCACAACUGAGCUCUGACAUGUCACGCUAACUCCCUGUGGCAUUGCAGGGAAGUGAGCAAGAGAAACAAGGACUCAUGGUCUGCUAGGACUCGCUGCUCUGGGAACUGCUGCAGGGAAAGACAAACUGAGCACUGUGCGAUUUCUACCCCUGGCCACUGUGACGAUGGUGAGCGGUGAAGAGUGGCUGAGACCACUUCCCACAGGCUGAUUUUAAUAAAUGAAGUCAAGAGAGGGGCCGCAGAGGGAAGCAGGUGCCACAGCAGAGCUGAGAAGAGAAGCUGGAAUAGGUUUUGUUACGCGGGGCAUGUUCCCUCUUGGAUGGCUCAUCUCCUAAUGCCACAGCAGAGGGUUCGAGGUUCCCAUCUCCCAGUUCCCUGCUUUAACCACGAAGCCACGCUCCCGCGCAGAGUUCAGAGUGGAUCAUGGCUCCCAGCUUUUAGUGCUAUCGUAGCCGCAGGUGUCUCAACGACCCUACCUUUGCCCUCACCUGUUUCUCAAACCGGUACCGUUUCCGCAGCUCCCGCCAACCAGCGUCUGGAGAGAAGGCAAAGCUGAACGGCUUAGCUGCUGCCGGCUGGGUCCCCUCCUUCCACCGGGCAUGACCAGGAACGAAUCCACUUCCAGUGCCUGCAGCAGGCUGUGCCCUGAGACCCAGACAACGAUCCCGAAGCCUUCCCAGGUCUGCAAAGGAGGCAGAAACAUCACCGAAGCUGCAAACCGCUGGUCGCCUAGUCCGCACCCCAGCCGAGCGAGUUCACGCGAAAGGAAGCCGCUCUCGUACGCUCGGAGCCCUGCGGGACACCCACCACCACCCUAAAAGACUGCGCCAUUUCAACGGCACCGGAUCGGCGUCCGCUUGCGUACACAGAACGGACGCUACUGACACUGUGUCUUUAAAAAGCGCCUGCUUAAAUUAGCCAUCAGUGACUGCUAACACUUCCUGUCGGCUGGAAAGUGUCACCGAGCAUCUCCAGUGCCGGAGACCACGCAACUGCGUGCCUCGGUUCAAAAGCAAGCCCGGGGAGAGCCCUCUCCCCGGUUUGGUGCAAGGAGCUCCUACAGCUGCGCAGGUCUUUUUAACCACCCGCCGCGUCGCUUGACAGGCUCUGAUGCUGAAAGGUAAUUUGGAACCCUCUGCCAGAGGUCUGAACGGACAGACUGGUCUCCCUGAAGUUAACUGCACGGUUCAGCUCCCUUCCGUGCUAAGAAAGCCUGACUGACACGAUGGGAGGAGGUCCGUUUAAAAGUGGUUCUAGCUAGCAGAGUAGUUGCAGCAAAACACACAUGUAUGCAUGUACUUCAAAUGGCACAUAUAGGCAAUCCCAUAUCCCAGCCCUCGGAAAAAAAAAAAAAAUGUAAAAAGUAAGCCUGUAAAUAUUUAUUUAUUUUAAAUGACAUAUAUAAAGUAAUCGGUUCCUUAAAAUGAACUAGUAUGAGAGAGGCUGGGCAACUCGGAAUACCAGUGACAAAGGUGGAUUCUCUGGCACAGACUUUAUCACUUCCCAUACAAUUUUGCUUUUAUUUCAUUGGUCUCCCACAUGACACUGCAAGAAUUUCAGCAGUCAGGUAAGUUUCUGAUGGCUAGCAGACAUAAGAGAGCGAGGGGCUGAACUGGAGUGUGAAUCUGGAAGUCAUUCCAAGCAUGUGUGCUGUACAGAAUCAAGACACUGAGCAAGCAUCUCGCUACAAGGACUCUGGUGUGUCUGCAUGUCUGGAGACUAGUCAGCUGCCCUUUUGGCAAAAUAUCACAGCCAGAACCAACCCAGGGUCCAAAAAAGCACCCCUACCUUCUGGGAGUCUCUGGAUCUAUCUUUGAAAUUUACAGAUGGAACCUAUUGUCCAUUUAUAAUUCAGUUAUCACCUCCUUUAAAAUCCUGAGAAAUCACAGCUGGCAGAAAUGCCAGGAAGUUUGCUCAGUGAGUCACACCACUGUCACCAUAAACACUGUGCAGGAGGACUAUUCUAAAAAACUCCCUCAAAGAAUCAUCCUUUCUAUUAAAAUUUCCCAUCCUUUUUCUCUAUUCCAAUAACCAAUUCUCAGAAUUUCAACAAAAAUCAAAGUGUUUC